rnacentral:rRNA from 1 species
CCUACGGGGGGCAGCAGUGGGGAAUAUUGGGCAAUGGGCGCAAGCCUGACCCAGCAACGCCGCGUGAAGGAAGAAGGCUUUCGGGUUGUAAACUUCUUUUGUCAGGGACGAAGCAAGUGACGGUACCGGACGAAUAAGCCACGGCUAACUACGGGCCAGCAGCCGCGGUAAUACGUAGGUGGCAAGCGGUCUCCGGAUUUACUGGGUGUAACGGGCGUGUAGGCGGGACGGCAAGUCAGAUGGGAAAACCCCGGGCUCAACCGGUGGCCUGCAUUUGAAACGGUAGUUCUUGAGUACUGGAGAGGCAGUCGGACUUCCUCGUGUAGCGGUGCAAUGCGUAGAUAUU